GCCCGUCGCGAAUCACGGGAAUCCGCGGCCCGGGAAGGGGCGGGGGAGGGACGCACUUCCUUCCUCCGCGGAGGGUCGAGGCCGGGCCCCCCGCAGCCUCCCCGCCACCCCUGCCUCCCGACUCCCUAGGGUGGCCCCAUCCGCCGUCCCCAGCAGUCUGUCAGGCAGAGGGUGGAGGGUGGCAGAGUGUCCUAAGGGGGUGGCCAACCUGGAAACCCUGGGGGCUCCCCUGAUGGGACUGAGGCUGGAGGAGGGGAGGGGCGCCCUGCUCCAGGCCUGGGUGGUCAGAGGAGCCCGCCUGGCUCUUUGCGGCCCUCGCAGCGGCUGUGCCUCGGGUUUGUCCUGUUAGCGUGUCUUCAACAGGCCACUGGUCCCGGCUCGCAGGCGCAGAGGCCAUCUGCUCACCUCUGACUGCUCUCGUUUACUUGUGGGGGUGCCGCGCAGCCCCUGGGACUGGUAUGAGUUUCCUGUUGCUGCUGUAACAUGUCGCCACAGAUCCAGUGCCUAAAACACCAGAGUGUGUUCUCUUAGAGUCACGAGGCUGGAACUGUGAAGUGGCUCUUUACACGGCUAAAAUCAACUUGCUGGCAGGCCAUGUCCCCUCUGGAGGCUCUGGGGACAGCCGGCUCCUUGCCUUGGUCGGCUCAGAGGUGCCUGUGUUCCUUGUCUCCUGGCCACUCAGCCCCACCUCUGCUUCCACCUCAGAGUCCCUUCUCCCCCUCAUAAGGACCCUGUGAUUACUGUAGGGAGAGAGAGAACCACCACUUCCUCCUUGGUUCUUUGUGGGUUUUUAGGCUAGAUCUGGGAACCCAAUUAAUACAAGAACUGGGUGACAAGAGAAAAACAUGAGAGUCAUGUUAGUUUUACACAUUCGUGGUGAUCUUCCCAAGAGGGUGAAGCGAGAAGAAAUGACUAAAGUAUGAUGCUGUCACAAUGAAGGAGUGACAGAGAGAUCAGCCGGGAGCACCCACAAGUCUUCUCUCUAUCUCUGUGGAUUUGCCUCUUCUGGACAUGGCAUUGCCCAACACGGGGUCUUGGCAUCUGGCUUCUUUUGUGAAGAAGCUCAGCUCUGAGCCCUGAGCCCUGAGGUCCGUCCAUGUCGCCCCGUGGUUGUGCUUCUUUCCCUUUGAGGCUGAAUGGAAUCCCUUUGCCCAGGGCACAGCCGCUCUUGAAAACCCAAGCUGGGCUGAGGUCCGCUCUGGAGCACAGAUAGGGGCCCAGGACUGAGCCAUAGGCGAAGAAGAGGCUGUGAAGGAGUCAGAGUAAACCAGGAGGCGGGAGGGAGACCCCAGGCACGUGGGGACCUGGAAGCCAAGAGAAGAGGGUUUGGGGCUAGAGGGGAGCCAUCCUGCAGGU